CCAGACUCCUACGGGAGGCAGCAGUGGGGGAUAUUGCACAAUGGGGGGAACCCUGAUGCAGCGACGCCGCGUGAGUGAAGAAGUAAUUCGUUAUGUAAAGCUCUAUCAGCAGGGAAGAAUAAAUGACGGUACCUGAGUAAGAAGCCCCGGCUAACUACGUGCCAGCAGCCGCGGUAAUACGUAUGGAGCAAGCGUUAUCCGGAUUUACUGGGUGUAAAGGGAGCGCAGACGGCAGGGCAAGUCUGAUGUGAAAGGCCGGGGCUCAACCCCGGGACUGCAUUGGAAACUGUCCGGCUAGAGUGCAGGAGAGGUAAGUUGAAUUCCUAGUGUAGCGGUGAAAUGCGUAGAUAUUAGGAGGAACACCAGUGGCGAAGGCGGCUUACUGGACUGUAACUGACGUUGAGGCUCGAAAGCGUGGGGAGCAAACAGGAUUAGAUACCCCGGUAA
rnacentral:rRNA from 1 species